AGGAAUACUGUCCUGACACUAUAAGAACUGGGUAUGACAGGGAUGAGGAGAAGGAUACAACUCUGUCUAUAAUAUGUGUGGUGGAAGAUAACUAUGUCCAAGAUCCUGGAGUAUCUACUGUUCCUCUAGAGGAGAAGCUGAAGGAAGAAUCUACAGUUAGAUCCAACACAGCGGCUUUAAACCUGCUGGCAUUCAGUUAAUGCUCUGAGUCUGGUUUAGCUAAUGCCCAAACAACGAUACAGAAAAUCCACCAAUCGCUCAAAGUUGAACUGUGACAGUGCAUUAACAAUUAACAAAAAUCUGACUAAAAAUUAUUCACCAUCCUGUAUAUACUUGUGAUAAACCAAUAGCAUGAUAAUAUAAUAGCAAGAUAUAAGAGUAGCAAGAUGAGCUUUACUAACGCAAUGGCAAAGCAGCAUAGCUUGGACACCAUCUAGCAGACCAACAAAGACGACUUUAGAUAGAAUAAAAAUGAAAUAAAAGUGAAAUGUGAACUAAAUUAUGAAAAUAGUGAAAUUACCUUGCAUUGCAAUCCGACGGUGAAAACCUUUGAUAUUUCAUAAUUAGAUUAUUUGAUCUACCAAAAUUCAUAGUUUAAAAAAUCUAAGUUAUACAUUGGGUUGCAUCUCAUAGUUUGUGGCAAAGACACAAUUGCUUUAUCCAUUGUUUUUGGCCAUUUGUUAAUAACAGUUUACAACAAUUUUAGGUAGCCGUUCGUUAUUUAGUCAAGGCGAAACGUUAAUGGUAUUUUCUGUGAUUUUAAAUGUUACCGUAAACGGCGCCAGUGGCGUUCGAUUAUUUCAUGCAAAAAUACCAACGAAAAUUAAAGACAACCUGUAAGUUUCAUGCUUUUUUAUACAAAUAGAAGGUCGCUGUUAUAAAAAAAA